UGGUCCUGGCCUUAUUAUCAAUUAUUACUCAACUUACACAUGCAAGUCUCCGCACCCCUGUGAGAACGCCCUCUAACCCACUUCCGGGAUCAGGAGCCGGUAUCAGGCUCGACAAUCAGCCCAUGACACCUAGCAACGCCACACCCACAAGGGAAUUCAGCAGUGAUUAACAUUGAAUAUAAGCGCAAGCUUGAUUCAGUCAGGGUAAGCAGAGCCGGCAAAUCUGGUGCCAGCCGCCGCGGCCACACCACGGGCUCAAAUUGACCUCACCCGGCGUAAAGCGUGAUUAAAGUCCCCCUAAAAAUGCAGUUAAACCAAACCUAGGAUGUUUAAUUCUUGAAUCUGGGAAACUCAAAAACGAAAGUCACUGCAAACAAUAACUUGACCUCACGACAGUUAGGGAACAAACUGGGAUUAGAUACCCCACUAUGCCUAACCGUAAACUUUAACUUACACCCAAAUCGCCAGGGAAUUACGAGCAACGCUUAAAACCCAAAGGACUUGACGGUGCCCCAAUCCACCUAGAGGAGCCUGUCCUAUAAUCGAUAACCCCCGUUUAACCUCACCACUCCUAGACCCUCAGUCUGUAUAUCGCCGUCGUCAGUUUACCACGUGAGUGAUCCCCGUAAGCAAGAGGACCAAUCGCCAAAACGUCAGGUCAAGGUGCAGCAUAUGAAGUGGGAAGAGAUGGGCUACACUCUCUAACUUAGAAAAUACGAAAGACUUGAUGAAAUCUCAGUCUAGAAGGCGGAUUUAGUAGUAAAAUGAAUCUAGAGUACUCAUUUUAACACGGCCCUGGGGCGUGUACACACCGCCCGUCACCCUCUUCGAAACUAAACUUAAAGUACAUAACACUUCACCUAUCUUAAAGAGGAGGCAAGUCGUAACAUGGUAAGCUACCGGAAGGUGUGCUUGGAAACAAGGCAAGUCGUAACAUGGUAAGCUUACCGGAAGGUGUGCUUGGAAA
rnacentral:rRNA from 1 species